rnacentral:rRNA from 1 species
GUGGGGAAUAUUGGACAAUGGGCGCAAGCCUGAUCCAGCCAUGCCGCGUGAGUGAUGAAGGCCUUAGGGUUGUAAAGCUCUUUCAGUAGGGAUGAUAAUGACGGUACCUACAGAAGAAGCCCCGGCUAACUUCGUGCCAGCAGCCGCGGUAAUACGAAGGGGGCUAGCGUUGUUCGGAUUUACUGGGCGUAAAGCGCACGUAGGCGGAUCGUUAAGUCGGGGGUGAAAUCCUGGAGCUCAACUACAGAACUGCCUUCGAUACUGGCGAUGUUGAGUCCGGAAGAGGUGAGUGGAACUCCUAGUGUAGAGGUGGAAUUCGUAGAUAUUAGGAAGAACACCAGUGGCGAAGGCGGCUCACUGGUCCGGUACUGACGCUGAGGUGCGAAAGCGUGGGGAGCAAACAGGAUUAGAAACCCGUGUAGUCC